rnacentral:tRNA from 1 species
GCCGCCAUAGCUCAGUCGGUUAGAGCGUGGGUCUAAUAAGCCCAAGGUCGCAGGUUCGACCCCUGCUGG